UGUAGGCCACCAGAAACCUGC
rnacentral:siRNA from 1 species